UACGUAGGGUGCAAGCGUUAAUCGGAAUUACUGGGCGUAAAGCGUGCGCAGGCGGUUCUAUAAGACAGAUGUGAAAUCCCCGGGCUCAACCUGGGAACUGCAUUUGUGACUGUAGAGCUGGAGUACGGUAGAGGGGGAUGGAAUUCCGCGUGUAGCAGUGAAAUGCGUAGAUAUGCGGAGGAACACCGAUGGCGAAGGCAAUCCCCUGGACCUGUACUGACGCUCAUGCACGAAAGCGUGGGGAGCAAAAGGG
rnacentral:rRNA from 1 species